GUAGGUGGCAAGCGUUGUCCGGAAUUAUUGGGCGUAAAGCGCGCGCAGGCGGGUUUUUUAAGUUCUGAUGUGAAAGCCCACGGGCUCAACCGUGGAGGGUCAUUGGAAACUGGAGAACUUGAGUACAGAAGAGGAAAGCGGAAUUCCACGUGUAGCGGUGAAAUGCGUAGAGAUGUGGAGGAACACCAGUGGCGAAGGCGGCUUUCUGGUCUGUAACUGACGCUGAGGCGCGAAAGCGUGGGGAGCAAACAGGAUUAGAUACCCUGGUAGUCCACGCCGUAAACGAUGAGUGCUAAGUGUUAGGGGGUUUCCGCCCCUUAGUGCUGCAGCUAACGCAUUAAGCACUCCGCCUGGGGAGUACGGCCGCAAAGGCUG
rnacentral:rRNA from 1 species